UCCGCCAUUGCGGAUGCUCUAAGAGCACCCGCAACGCAUCCCGCGGGUGUCUCGUAUCUCGUCCCUCUAAGACGAGGCGGCGGCGAGCCAGCUCGCUACGCGUGACGAAGAAUUGGGCUUCAUACAAAUAAAGAAAAAGAUCCUAGCCCAAAUUCAAUAAUAACAACACUGGCUAAUCCAUUAACAUCUAAAAGAAUUGAAGGAAAUUUUUUGGCUACACAAACGACGUCGUUUUAAGAACAAAUAAAAAGUAGAAAAAAGUCGGGUGUUACAACACAUAAACCAAUAUGACCUUUUAGUUUAUAUCCCAUUUGAGUACCCUAAUUCUUGAAAAAUGGAGAAUUUACAUGGAAAUAAGAUAUGACUGCAGGGCUAUAUGACCUUUUAGUUUAUAUCCCAUUUGAGUACCCUAAUUCUUGAAAAAUGGAGAAUUUACAUGGAAAUAAGAUAUGACUGCAGGGCUUGUAAUAAAAGACCUAAACAUAUCUUUAAAGUAGAUAUAAAUCAGAUUUUAUGUAAAGGAGAGUUUAUAUAAUAAUGUUUGGAGAUUUUACUACAUUCAUUAGUUCAAAAUGAUAUAAUAAUGAGAUUUAGAACUAAAACAUAUGCCUAUCACAUUUCUUGAAAAUUGGACCACCUGAAUUAAUUUGAAUAUGUUUGCAUGACUUAUCUGCAUAAUGAUGAUUAACGGAUAUUCAUAAAUUUAAAUGUAUAUAAGACAAUACACAUCUUGUUAUCGAAUUGCUUCUAAGUCUAGGAUUUAAUAAUCAAUACUCCUCUACUGACCUUAAUGAUAUAAUUUAAACAUUAAAUAGAGUCAAACAUUAAAAUAUAUAAUAUGGAGGAAAAACUGGAAAAUAACAUAAAACCUUCAAUAAAGAGUGUCCCUAUUCAAUAUAGUGAUGCUUAGCUUUCCUGCAAAUAUAAGAUUGAAGAAGGGCAAAAAUAAGACUUUGUUGAAUUAAAGAACACUGAACAAAUGAGACUUUAAUGAGACCUUUUGUGCAGGAAUUAUGCUACUGAGAUAGAGUAUAUAACAAUAAGAUCAAUAAGUUUAAAUACCAAGUUUGUCCAAGAUUUAUGCUACUGAGAUGGAGAUAAAAAGAAUGUAAAUUUCACAGUCAAGAAGACAUGUCCAUAAAAUCAUGGUAAGAAUGUACAUUACUGCAUGAUAAAACAGUAAGCAUGGAUACACAUAUAGCAAGAUAUUUAUCAAACUUCAUAAGAUUUUCUUAUAAAGUCCACUUUUGUGCAGGUAUUAUACUACUGAAGAAGGAGAUAAAAGAAAGGAAAUGAAUGUCAAGAAGAUCUUUUAAAAGCAUGGGAAAAACUGGAUUGGAAACUGCGAAUGUACAAAUAAGUACUCAUUUGCAGAUAUAAAUUGCAUAAUAUUUCCAAGGCAAGAUGAUACUACUAAUAUUUAGUAGGCUGUACACUUUUCUCCAAAUUACUAUACAAAGGGGAUUUCUUAUUUGGUCA